UACGGGGGGGGCAAGCGUUGUUCGGAAUUACUGGGCGUAAAGGGCUCGUAGGCGGCCAACUAAGUCGGAUGUGAAAUCCCCAGGCUUAACCUGGGAACUGCAUCCGAUACUGGAUGGCUUGAAUCCGGGAGAGGGAUGCAGAAUUCCAGGUGUAGCGGUGAAAUGCGUAGAUAUCUGGAGGAAUACCGGUGGCGAAGGCGGCACCCUGGACCGGCAUUGACGCUGAGGAGCGAAAGCUAGGGGAGCAAACGGG
rnacentral:rRNA from 1 species